rnacentral:ncRNA from 1 species
CUAAGGGGUGCCAGCCCAGUUGGGCGGCUGAGAACAUACCCAUGAACCUGAUCCGGAUAAUGCCGGCGUAGGUAGGAU